UGGGGGAUCGUCUAAUGGUAGGACAGCAGAUUCUGAUUCUGCUUAUGAGGGUUCGAGCCCUUCUCCCCCAG
rnacentral:tRNA from 1 species